rnacentral:rRNA from 1 species
UACGAAGGGGGCUAGCGUUGCUCGGAAUCACUGGGCGUAAAGGGUGCGUAGGCGGGUUUUUAAGUCAGGGGUGAAAUCCUGGAGCUCAACUCCAGAACUGCCUUUGAUACUGAAGAUCUUGAGUCCGGGAGAGGUGAGUGGAACUGCGAGUGUAGAGGUGAAAUUCGUAGAUAUUCGCAAGAACACCAGUGGCGAAGGCGGCUCACUGGCCGGGUACUGACGCUGAGGCACGAAAGCGUGGGGAGAAAACAGG